ensembl:snRNA U6 U6 spliceosomal RNA
GUGCUUGCUUCAGCAGCAUGUAUACUAAAAUUAGAAUGAUACAGCAAAGAUUAGCACAGCCCCUGCACAAGGAUGACACCCAAAUUUGUGAAGCAUUCUAUAUUUUU